UAUUUGAAAUUGAGUUUUGGAGAAAAAGAAAAUAGGAAAAGUAAUUUUGUGAUAUUCCAUUUUUAUUUCUUCAGAAAUUGAGAUUAAAACUUCUGAUUGUAAUUGAGGGGGAAAAAAAUUUCCCAUGAAAAAUGUCUUCAAAACCUCAAGUUUCAAUUUUUUUUUUUCCAUAAAUCCAGUUUGGAAUUUUAAUUCCCAAUUCAAAUUUUUGGGGUGUUUCUUCGAUUCGUAUUCCGACCCCAAAUGUUCUUUUUACUCGGAUAAACAUAUUUUUGUUCACAAAUGUAAAUGACAAAACAAUUUCUCAAAUCGAAAUUGGGGUUUUUUUCUUACUUUGUCGGAACAUAAGCUUCCGAAAAACUGUAUAGUAACAAAAUUCCAAUUCACUAUUACAUAUUAUGAGCUAUUAUUUACUCAAAGGUUGUUAUGAAUUGAAUAAUUAUGUUGCCCAGCCCUUCCCACAUGUUUGACCAUUUUAUUUAAUUCAAGUUUGCGACAUGAAUGAAAAAGUUCCUCUUCCAGACCAUCCAAAUAAUUGCUCAGCAAAACCAGUGUUCUUUGAUCUGCUGUUCGUGGAAUGCCGACAAAGCAAUUUGGAGUCAAAGCACGCAAAUAAUAGCGACAUAAAGGAGGUGAUUGCCUCUUCAAUCACAUUUCAUUCACUUCGAUUCAAAGCGUGACAAUUGCGCCAUUACGACGUCUUUGUGGGAACAAGCUCUAGAUUCUCUCGACCGUUGGCUGACAGAAGAUUUCAAAUAAUCCUUCCACUUCCGUCUUUUACUAGUCUGGCUGUGAAAUACGCAACCGUGCCUGGGAUGAGACCGAACACACUCAAGCGGGCUGUCGACAUCGUCAUUCUCCGCGUACUUCAACACGUUGUCUGUUUGAGCACCCGUCGGCCUAAAAAUGAUACGUUCAAGGGAGCGAUGAGACUUUUUAUCCGAUCAGUUCAUAUGUGAUGAUCGGGUUGCCACUGUGACCAGAAUUGCAUUUGCCCUUGUCGCGACUUGCCUUCGUAAAGCUUUCAAAGCGAUGAAAGGGUUUUUCUCAUGGCAAUCAUAUUUGUUUACAGAGUUUUUAACUUGGAACUACAGACUCAUUUUCAGUAUUCACAAUGUUUGCUCUUUUUUUUUUUGGCAUUUUUGCGUAAAAAUAUAAUUCUUCAGCGUGCGCUGGUCCACCUUGUUGCAUUAAAUCAGGAAACAUGC